rfam:Schistosoma mattheei strain Denwood, Zambia genome assembly, scaffold: SMTD_scaffold0002152
AUACUGCUGAGGAGUCUCACAAUAGGACGAAACGGCCGUCCAGUGAAU